UCGGUAACAUGGAAGCAGUGAAGCGUGACAGUGUCCAUUUAGCGUUAUUUCGAGUGUCGAGAAAAAUAAUAAAGCCUCCCAGGUUUUAUGCUAAGAUAAAAAUAACAAAACAGUAGACAACUUGAAGAAGAGACGAAGACGGCUCGUAAUUUAAUUUUAAGAAUGGAAACCGAGAAUCACGCCGGAAGAAACAAGUCAGAUAAAUGGAUAAACCUGCAGUUGGACCAGUCACAGCUCUUUUUUUGCACUGACACAUCACAGCCCGUUCUCUCCCUGUCCUCAUCAGGCUUCAUGCUGGAGGCUGAAGAGAGCCAUUGGUAACGGGGCCCAGGGCCCGAGGCCAGAGGGGUGCGGUGAGUCACAGGAUAAAUCGGACUCGACCUCUCUGCGAA